UCCAGUCCAGGCAGCCACGGGGCCCGAGGCUGGCCCGGCCUCGCCGCUUCCUUUGGCAGCUCUCAAGGCCCGGGAGGUAGGGGGCCAUCCCUGGCGCCCCAUCCGCCCCGCAGGGACCCCCGCCUCCCAUCUGAGAGGACUGGCUUCUUCCCGGAGCUGGGAUCUGGCGCUUGCUGGUACCAACAGCAGAUACCAGGCCCAUAGGAGGAGCACACUUUUCUUGCUUCCUUUGAAGUUACGUGUGACUUGUUUUGGCCAAUGAGAUGUGAGCAGAAAACAAACUGUGUCGUCACUGCUGGGCAGAAGCUUUCGGAGCCAGCGCUGUGGGUGUUGUGGAACCAAGUGUAGAUGUGGAGUCGUCGUGGUGAGGAGAGGCCCUGGUGACCCACGAUGGACAUGGACUAAACUCUCUGCAGUUGGCGGAAGACCCUUGCCUCUGUGCCCUUGAUCAGCAGAGCUUUCUGAGGAGUAAGCAGAACCGGCAUUAUUGACUCCAUUUUCAGAGGUGGACGUAGA